rnacentral:rRNA from 1 species
AUGAACGCUGGCGGCGUGCUUAACACAUGCAAGUCGAACGAGAAGUGAAGACGGAAACCUUCGGGCGGAAGGCUUUAUUUCGAGUGGCGGACGGGUGAGUAACGCGUGGGUAACCUGCCUCAUACAGGGGGAUAACAGUUGGAAACGACUGUUAAUACCGCAUAAGACCACAGCACCGCAUGGUGCGGGGGUAAAAACUCCGGUGGUAUGAGAUGGACCCGCGUUCGAUUAGCCAGUUGGCGGGGUAACGGCCCACCAAAGCGACGAUCGAUAGCCGAUCUGAGAGGAUGACCGGCCACAUUGGGACUGAGACACGGCCCAAACUCCGACGGGAGGCAGCAGUGGGGAAUAUUGCACAAUGGGGGAAACCCUGAUGCAGCGACGCCGCGUGAGUGAAGAAGUAUUUCGGUAUGUAAAGCUCUAUCAGCAGGGAAGAAAAUGACGGUACCUGAGUAAGAAGCCCCGGCUAACUACGUG